rnacentral:rRNA from 1 species
AGUGAACGCUGGCGGCAGGCCUAACACAUGCCAGUCGAACGGCAGCACAAGAGAGCUUGCUCUCUGGGUGGCGAGUGGCGGCCGGGUGAGGAAUGCAUCGGAAUCUGCCCAUUUGUGGGGGAUAACCUCGGGAAACCGGGACUAAUACCGCAUACGACCUACGGGUGAAAGCAGGGGAUCUUCGGACCUUGCGCAGAUGGAUGAGCCGAUGCCGGAUUAGCUAGUUGGAGGGGUAAAGGCCCACCAAGGCGACGAUCCGUAGCUGGUCUGAGAGGAUGAUCAGCCACACUGGGACUGAGACACGGCCCAGACUCCUACGGGAGGCAGCAGUGGGGAAUAUUGGACAAUGGGCGCAAGCCUGAUCCAGCCAUGCCGCGUGUGUGAAGAAGGCCUUCGGGUUGUAAAGCACUUUUGUUGGGAAAGAAAAGCAGCCGGUUAAUACCCGGUUGUCAUGACGGUACCCAAAGAAUAAGCACCGGCUAACUUCGUG